UAAUAAGGAAAAAUAGCGAAUACCUAAUACGAUUACAAAUUAUUGAACAUAAAUAUGCAAUCGAUAGUACAGUUAAUAAGAAUAUGGAAUAAACUGAAAGUAAAAUACACAGUCAAUAAACCAAUUAUAAAAUGUUAAGAUAAUAAAAAUAAAACACAACAAAAUUGAAUGGAAGCAGCUAUACAAGUCUGUCUGGUGUUCCUUUUUGACAGGCAUCGUGGUGGAGCAGAAGCGGAGCUGGCGUUCUGCCUGGAGCAAAAAUCACAAAGAAACGUUUAAAGAGAGCGUUCAAAAUCUAUUGGCACUGCGCAUCAACGCCCAAACUUGCAAAAGCCUCAUGGAGGACAUUGUUAGCCCGAUCGAGCGACCCGAACAAUAUCGCGGGAUCCAGCAUUUUUCCGUGCAGUGUAACGAAGAAGUUACCCCACAACGUCAUAGCGAAGAGGCCAGUGACGUUCCGGCUUACGGCGCAGAUGAGCGGCAGUCCGAAGGGAUAUUUGCCGGCGACAGUCA